rnacentral:rRNA from 1 species
AAGCGGAGGAAAAGAAACUAACCAGGAUUCUCUUAGUAACGGCGAGUGAACAGAGAUUAGCCCAGCACCGAAGCCCAUUCACGUUUGUGGACCAAGGCAAUGUGGUGUUAAGGUGUCUGCCUGGGGUCGUCGGUUUAUUCGAAGUCCAGCAUAGAUUAUGGCUCUGGACUUUGCCCAAAGCGGGUGAAAGGCCCGUUCGGAUAAACCUUGUAGCAUAUUGACGAUCUCCAGUUGCAUUCACUUUUGAGUCGGAUAGCUUGAGAAUGCUGUCCAAAGUGGGUGGUAAACUCCAUCCAAGGCUAAAUACCUGCACGAAUCCGAUAGUAGACAAGUACCGUGA